rnacentral:ncRNA from 1 species
AUACUCCUCUAUUUCACAAAAUUAUGGGGUAUAUUGAAGGAAUUAAGAAAAUGAUAUAAAAUAAUCACUAAGCGCUAUAUGCCGCGGUAGCUCAAUGGUAGAGCGCUUGCCUGAAUCUUCGGGCCUUUCCGCCGUAAGACGGAUCGAAUAAUCGGGUGAAUUCGGGGAAACCUCUAAUAUGGUCGAGAGGUAAUCCCGAGCCAAGUCCUGAUGGGAACCAGUGUCAGGAAAGGUGUAGAGACUAACAAGUGAGUCCCAACAAUAAUCUUGUACUAGCGCCCGACAUCCCGAAUACUUCGGGAUGAUGAUAUAGUCCAAUCUUUGGAGUAAUCCAAAA